GUAGCUACAAACAUUAAUUUCCUUUUAAAAAUUGUCAGUCGUAAGGAGUUUGCAGUGGGAAAUGUAGAAAACGAGUAAAGAUGUUGUAAUCCCACACCACAACACAAUCACAAGCGCAUGAGUAAGCUUUAUGUGCCGGGUUAGUUUUGGUUAUGGGUCUUUCCCAACAAGGAAAGCUCAUGCAGUGUAGAAUUGGUUGAGGCGACCAGAAACAAUUAACCUUGGAUGGCCAUAUGAGCCAUUCCAGGUACCUGAGGAUCGGAGGAUGUCAAAAGAUAAGUAGAACCUAAACUACACGUCUGUUUCUGCUUGUGUGUAAUGACACCCUGCUUCGGUAAUUUAUUAUAAUUGGUUACGUUUUCUAGCCAUUGGAGUCAUCACACGACAAAAGGCCACAUACUUGAAGAACAACAUCAAUUCAAGAAGAAGGUAGGAUGAGAAUUAUCUGAAGAAGGUGUCUAAAAAAGGAAAGCAAACGAGUGAAGAUGAUGUAAUCACACGAAGAGAGUCACCAACGCAUGAGUAAGCGUUCUAAACUUCAUAUUUUGAGUGUCUUUUUUUAUUAUAGUCUUGACCACUAGACGUAUGAUUUUGUCUUGUGUCAACAUGUUUUGUUGUGUUGUGAACUUAUUAUUGAUUCAAUCAAUCAAACCACUAUGGACGUGAUGUAUUUGUGCUUGCUAUCUGAUCUCUUGCCUUGAUAGUAGUAGCAUUACUAGGGACAAACAGGGUUGCUGUUUGCAAAUCUCUGGUGAAUGUUAUUUCAAUCUCCCACUUGUUUCUUGUUCUAUCCUAUCUUAUGCUCUGAGUGCCUUUUUUUAUUUCUUCAUGGGAGUGAGUGAUACUAGUGAUAUGUGUGACCAAUGAUGAUUCAUCAGAUGGGAGUGAGUGAUUCAUCAUAUGUUGCUUUCUAAAUUGUGAUAUGUGGCCAUUUAGUUGAGUAGUACUGUUGUAUGUUUUGCACCUGCCUCGUUUGAUUCUCUCUUAUUAAUCACUCACUCAAUCAUCUUUUCUAAUCAUAACCCCAAAUGUUGAUUGGACCUCCAACAUCUCUGCAAUCAGAGACAUGGGUCUUAUAAACAAGUGCAUCUAAGAGAAUGUUGUGUGGGCUGCUGGAGUUCCUUCCGUGCCUGGAUAUCAUCAUGGCCAUAAGCAAGAUAUUGAUCAUAUGAAGUCAUAGCAAGAUAUCAUGUUAUGUAAUAUGUUAUGACUUACUUAUGUGACAAAUAAUGAUUCGUCAGAUGUGAUACUCAAAGCCACACGCUGUUCUUUGAAUGUUACUUUCACUGACUACCAUGAGAGCUGCGAUGAGAAUCUCGGCUGACUACACCAUUUCUGACAACUCAAGCCGGAUGUGAUCUUGAUCGUAAGUGGAUCAGAGCUAGAGAUUGUAGUUCAAGCUGCAGACGAUUUAAGUAAAGAAGGGAAACCGUGAGAGUAGUUUCGUUUGUAUCCAAGGGAGCUUUUCGACGAGCAAUCUGAUGCAUUAAAGAUCUGGUGUAAUCAGAGCUUUUCGACGAGCAAUGAGAUUCGUUUUGAGGCAAGUGCACCAGUAGGGAAGCUUUAUAAAGAGUUUGAUAUCAUCAUUGUAGCUAUGGCUGCUACAGCUAAGUCACUUGUAUAAAAAAGAGUAUCUUAUCUUACCGGUACUGAAAUUUUUGAAUUUCAAUUUCGUAAGAAGAGACGUUCACUUUA